AACUCAAGGAGCUCCUGAGCUCAGGAACAGCUGACAGCCGCCGCCGGACGGCUCCCGGGGUGGCACCUGGGGAAGGGGUGGAUGGGCAAUGCCUUGCCAGCUUGCUCUGGGGCACCCUGUCCCUAGCUGCUAUGAGUCAUCUGAAGGGUCAUUACCUCAGGAGAGAGCUGGCCUUGUCUCCAGGGACAUCACCCUGAAAUCAGCGGUCGUUGCCAUAUGUUCCUCCAACGGUGAUGGGUUGACACACAGAUGAACCAUUGGUGCCGGAUGUUGGAGAUUUGGAAAUGCCUCCAGCACCUGACCUGACAGCACACCCUAGUGUGCUUCUUCUCAUGACUGCAUUCUUUCUCGGCCCUGCAUCCCACUGCCACUGCCCAGCAGAUGGAGUGGAUGUGAAUCAGCUUCCCAUUGCUUCAUGUGGUGGUUUCACUGAAACCUUGGCCUGGGUGCUUUGGAACCCGUGGUUAGCCCUUGAAGCCGUUAAGCCAGAACUCAAACCCAAUGCUGUUUAAAUCCACAGAAGUCAGAGGAGUCACCCGCCACUGUGCCAAUGCCACUGGACUGAAGCCUCGUGACCAGACUUGGAUUCACGCAGCACAGCAGCUUUUCAGUGACUUGGGGAAAUUUAUUGGGGAACAAUGCAGUGGGCUUUUGUUCUUCUACAGUCUCCUUUGGAAACUCCCUCUUUCAAGCCAGGAGGGUGAAAGACGAAGUUGUGUAUCCUUCACGGGGAAAAUACGGAUUCCUCUAACGGCAAAUUCCAAAUCCAAGCAGACCAGGUUAUUGCCAUAGCCAAGGAACCUUGGCCUUAGCUCACACUGGGAAAUACACUGUUUAAGGUGAGAACACGAACUGAACAGGGCAUGCUGGAGAUGUGAGUUUUCUUUGCCUUGACGAGAAGCUUUCGGAUCGAUUAGGGAGACGGAGCUCAGCGUUUCUGUUUUUGUUUUUGUUUUUUUCCCCAUGUAACAGGCAAACAUCCCCACUAAAAGCCCAGCCAGGGCUUAUAAGACUCACUCCACAGCCCAGACAGCUAUGAGAUUCUCAAAUGAAUUAGGUUCUAGAGCCCAUGAUGUGAGCAAAACCUGACCCGAAAUGCCUGCAAACUAUCUAUAGAUUGUGUUUUCUCACUUAUCACACAUAUUCACAUUUCACUGUGCAGAUACUUACCUGUGAGUUUGGGGAAGGAACUACCCGGUCAUGGCAUUCAUACCUCAUUAUCUUUUAUUAAAGGGCAAAAUUUGAGGAUACACUUGUCCAGAGAGUUUGGAGAAGGGAUUGUAGACCUGAGACACAUUAAAACAUAUUUUUCCCCUGC